ACCUGGCUGGCUCAGUUGGUGGAGCAUGCAACUUUUGAUUUGGGGGUUGUGGGUUCAAGCCCUACGUCAGGUG
rnacentral:tRNA from 1 species